rnacentral:rRNA from 1 species
UACGAAGGGGGCUAGCGUUGCUCGGAGUGACUGGGCGUAAAGGGCGCGUAGGCGGAUGGCACAGUCAGAUGUGAAAUUCCCGGGCUUAACCUGGGGGCUGCAUUUGAUACGUGUUGUCUUGAGUUCGGAAGAGGGUCGUGGAAUUCCCAGUGUAGAGGUGAAAUUCGUAGAUAUUGGGAAGAACACCGGUGGCGAAGGCGGCGACCUGGUCCGACACUGACGCUGAGGCGCGAAAGCGUGGGGAGCAAACAGG